rnacentral:tRNA from 1 species
GCGGCAAUAGCUCAGUGGUAGAGCCCCGCUUCGCGUGCGGGGAGACCCGGGUUCGAUUCCCGGCUGCUUCU